UGGGGCCCGGCCCCGCCAGGCUGCGGUGGGCACCCACCGGUGCCCAGUUAUGCCUUCAAGGCCGGAAGCAAGAGAGAGAUUUCCCGGGUUUGCCCAUCUUUAAAAAUGUGAAUCUCACAGAGGCGGAUCUAGCUUUUAAAGUUUUAAUAGGUUACCAAUUCUCAGAGCUAGCCAACUAUUGGUUUUUGCUAGGCACAGAGGAAUCUCUUAGCAGCGUCUCAGAAAAAUAAUUUCCAUGGGUGGCUUCUUCCCUCACCAAAUGUCAAUUGAUGCAAAACCAGUGCAGCAACAUGUACUUCAGAUUCUCUGAAUGAUUUUCUAAAAUUUUCUUUUAUCCACCCAGUGGUUUUAGCACUUGCAAAAUGCCAGUGUCGCAUACUUCCAUACUUCUCUUAAUAGCAUCCUAAGGGAGUAAAGAUCAUCUCAGAUGCAAAAAUUUUAAAAAGGGAGAGUUGCCAAGUAAUGAGGCCAUCAUAAUGGUAAGGAUAUCCCAGUACAGCUUUUGCUGUGGAAACUGUGGGAAGAAAACCCUUGCUAUUCCUCUUGAAUGCUGCUUACUAGACCAAGCGUUGAUACCUUGCUUAACUAUGUGAGGGGGAUUCUGGUCUUCCUUCUUUUUGAACAGGUGCUCUUUGGCAAGAUUCUUUAUGUGGUCAAGAAGAAAUAUAACUGUGUCUAGGAGUAUUGUUGACUGUAUGCGGUCUGUCAGUCAUCUUGAACAUACAACUGUAGAACAUCCUGAACAGCUGAGAAGAAAUCCCUGAAAUAUCUGAAAUGCUCCUUAAAGUCAAGCACAGCAGGUAAUUGUUGAUAUAGUAUGUUUGAACUGCCUGCUGGUUAGGAUAACCUCCAGUGAACAGAAGAUGGAGACUCUGCUGAUUAUCAACACUCACCGCCUGUGGAAAGAAAGAGCCAAGGCCCAGAUUAAAAGGUGAUAAGAAGAGGAUUAAAACCACAAGCCAAGAAAUGUGCAUGCUCCAAAAAUGCAGAUCCAAGGAGCAGCCAUGCAAAAUAGUUCCUGGAAGAUGUAAACUAGUUAAUGAAAAAGUUUGAAUAUGCAUAAAGUUUAUGAAUAUGCAUCAAGGUGAUGCAAUAGAAAUGGUAUAUAAAAGGUGUUCCCUAAACACCAGAUAUGCUCUUGGCAGAGCACCAAGCACCCAGCCAUUAUUCUUUGCUUUAUUAUCUGUGUCUCUUAU